CUGAUCCACUGCCAUCAUAAACAAAACUAGAAUUUGCCCUCUUGGAAUCACCUAGAUUGACUUGGGAUGAGCAAUUUGUCAACUUACAAAUAAUUCGUUUAGCUUUCAUGGCAAACCAAGAAAUUCCGACAUGGCAUGAAGCAGUAGAUGACUUUGGUUGUGCCCCAGUGAGUCAAAGCCGGAGUGAGAGCUGCUGGAGAGGGCCGUGUGAUAUUUGAGUCUGCAGAGCGCCAGGGCAGAACGCGAGGGCACCGGGAGGUCACGGCGCGCGCACUGCUCCAUGUGAAUACUGUCUCUGUUCUUCUCCGGUCGUCAUUAAGAUAUAAAUCUUUGGUGACUGAAAACAACACGUAGAUCACCGUGGCAGUGUGAUUACGUUGGAGAUGUUCCCAAGAGCGCACUCUUCAAAAUAAACACCAGUUAAUAUUGUAACCUUUUGUUGACGAAUUGAGCAUGCUACUGUAACCUGCAGGCCCCAAAACAGAAACUGGAAAAAAAAAAAUCGCGCUGAUUUUGAACAAUCACCGGAUUUUGUGCAAAUCAAAUCUGCGCAUAUUUUCCUGUUUGGAGCGGUUGUAUACUAAACAGUGGUGACCCCUACUCUGCGCUUGAAUGGGGUCGGCUGAUGCGCACCGUUCUGAGGUGGAAACUGCCGCUCUUCGCUCUCAAACAUCACGAAGAAUGCCAAGAAUUCAAUUGUGUGAGACAUUGGGAAACCUGCAACCUGCGUGUGACUUGACCGGCCGGGUCGCAUCGCCGGGGCCCCGUGGAGCGUGCAGAGCAGGUACAGGCGGCGCGCGCAUAUCAAGACAAAGCGAAGGUCAAAUGCGUUGCUCUUACAAUGACUUGACCUCGUUCGACGUGUUGAUCAUAAUCUGUCAUCUGUGAGAGCACAACAAAGGAUACAAUCAGGUCAUUCAAAGCAGCUUCUGCGGAAAAAAAAGCUGGAAACACGCUGCGCCAAACCUGUGCUCAGUGGGCAAAAACCAUUACAUGAGCAGAGCAGAAACUAUGCCAGAGCUUGUGGGGAAAACAAGCUUUGACUUUGUACCAUGUUUUAGCUUUAGUCAUUCACGUUUGUUUUUUUGUUUUUUUUAAAUGCUGAAAAAAAAUAUUGGAAUUAAUAAGACCAAAAAAUGCCGCAUAAGCAUAUAUAAGCAAUAUAAUGAGUAAAAUCAUUCAAAUCUGAUCAAAUCUGAUUAC